GGGUUGUGAGGUUAAGCGACUAAGCGUACACGGUGGAUGCCCUGGCAGUCAGAGGCGAUGAAGGGCGUGCUAAUCUGCGAUAAGCGCCGGUAAGGUGAUAUGAACCGUUAUAACCGGCGAUACCCGAAUGGGGAAACCCAGUGUGAUUCGUCACACUAUCAUUAACUGAAUCCAUAGGUUAAUGAGGCGAACCGGGGGAACUGAAACAUCUAAGUACCCCGAGGAAAAGAAAUCAACCGAGAUUCCCCCAGUAGCGGCGAGCGAACGGGGAGGAGCCCAGAGCCUGAAUCAGCAUGUGUGUUAGUGGAAGCGUCUGGAAAGGCGUGCGAUACAGGGUGACAGCCCCGUACACAAAAGCGCAUGUGCUGUGAGCUCGAUGAGUAGGGCGGGACACGUGGUAUCCUGUCUGAAUAUGGGGGGACCAUCCUCCAAGGCUAAAUACUCCUGACUGACCGAUAGUGAACCAGUACCGUGAGGGAAAGGCGAAAAGAACCCCGGCGAGGGGAGUGAAAAAGAACCUGAAACCGUGUACGUACAAGCAGUGGGAGCCCCACCACUAAGCCAGUGGUGAACUCCACAUACGCAUCCUUUGCUGAGGAUACGGUUAACGGAGCACAAGCGACGUUCAACCUCAAAAGAAGCAGAGGGGGCUUAGUGGUGGGGUGACUGCGUACCUUUUGUAUAAUGGGUCAGCGACUUAUAUUCUGUAGCAAGGUUAACCGUAUAGGGGAGCCG
rnacentral:rRNA from 1 species